AUUGAACGCUGGCGGCAUGCUUUACACAUGCAAGUCGAACGGCAGCGGGGAGGAGCUUGCUUCUCUGCCGGCGAGUGGCGCACGGGUGAGUCAUACAUCGGAACGUGUCGAGAAGAGGGGGAUAACCACCCGAAAGGGUGGCUAAUACCGCAUAAAUUCUGAGGAAGAAAGCUGGGGACCUAGGAAUAGGCCUAGCGCUUUUUGAGCGGCCGAUGUCGGAUUAGCUAGUUGGUGAGGUAAAGGCUCACCAAGGCGAAGAUCUGUAGCGGGUCUGAGAGGAUGAUCCGCCACACUGGGACUGAGACACGGCCCAGACUCCUACGGGAGGCAGCAGUGGGGAAUUUUGGACAAUGGGGGCAACCCUGAUCCAGCCAUGCCGCGUGUAUGAAGAAGGCCUUAGGGUUGUAAAGUACUUUUGUUAGGGAAGAAAAGUCAGCUGUGAAUAAUGGCUGAUACUGACGGUACCUAAAGAAUAAGCACCGGCUAACUACGUG
rnacentral:rRNA from 1 species